AAUACAUAGCUUAAUUUCUCAAAAUAAUUUUUUAAUUAAAAGUCUCAACCAAAGUACUUGAAGAUCUGAUAAAAGAAAAAGUUACACAAAAGACGAUGAUUGUUUUUUUUUGUCAACAUUGCUUUUAUAAAAGCUUUAACAGUACAAGAGGAUUCGAAAGCCCAAUACAAACAUUAAAAACCCAGAAGUUAAAGAUAACUAUUAUACAAAAGAUACACGUGCCAAGGAAAUGGCUGGUCUUUGGGUGGUGAGAAGCUUCCCGAGAUAUCCAGUUCUACUCACCGGCGUUCCGUUGAACUUUCCGAUCAUCCCUCUGGUGGUCUUUUUGGAGAUGGCGCAUGAAGAUCUUUCGCCUCUUUCGAAUCCGUCUUGAAACCCACAUGCAGUGCUCGCCGGUUCUUCUAAUUUGAACUUAAAAUGAUCCUCGAUCAUUAAACUCUGGGAUGGUCUGAUCGAUUAAAAAACAGAUCAUAUGUCGGGACGUUUUAUAACAAAACCCCAACUUUACUUAAUCCACUUCCAAUCGAUUGAUUUCAUCCAUUAACUUCGACUCUCAACCAAGAAGGAUAAACUUCCCAACGUAUUUCAACAGGAAGAAGAUAUUACUCUCCGAUGGAAGAGAUCUAGCACUCAAAGAUCACAAGAGAGCAAGUCGAAGAUCCGGAAUAAGAAAUUAAACUUGCACGGGGAGGAGAUAUUCAAGCAAACCGGAGAUAGAAAAUGAAGACAUGAUGAGAAGCUCCGAUUAGCUUGAGUUACACAAAAUUGCCUAGCGAAGCGGAACCGAAGUCGCCUUAGCGAAAGCAAGAUCCGGCAAGCGGAAGACCUAAUCUAUCAUGAAGAUCGAUUGUAUUUACAACAAAAGCAAAAAGUGGAAGAUGGUAACCGGCAGCGAAGGCCACACCGGCCACCGUCGUUGAUCUUUUACUAAACCGCUUUAGAGAGAAUAGAGAGAGAAGAAGGGGUUUUUUCCUCCCGAUGAUCGUUUAAUUUGUAUAUAUAAUUUAAAAGUAUCUAAUUUUCAAAAUAAUUAAUAUAGCAGAAAAUAAUUGCUUAAAUUGAAAAUAAAAGUUAAAAAGAGAUUAAAUUUCUUAUAUAUUUACAGAUAAAUGUAAAGUUAUCAAAAAUAAAAUGCAAGUAUCAGUAGUUAUCAUUGUAAAACAGAUGACAAAAAACAAUCAUUGUGACUAUUGAGUUGAACCGAACCAUUCCGGAAAAGAAAUAUUAACGAAUUAGGUGGUGUGUAAAAUUAAGUAAAAGAAACGGAGACCUGAGGGUUCAACCACCCCUCCUAACCCAUGGCACAACGAAAACAAUUAAAUUGGUCAACGAUCUCCGACGAUAACCUCUCCGGAUCCAACAAACGGUCUUCAAUCCCUGGGCAAGAAACCCGUUACUCCGUUUCGAUUCCUGUUGAUGUAAUCAUCAAUAUCUUGUCGAGACUCCCAUUGAAGUCUAUAGCUCAAUGUCGUUGCGUGUGUAAGCUCUGGUCUUCCAUAGCUCGCCGUCCAAAUUACAACCUGCUGUUCCCUAUCAAGUCUCCCGAUGAGACACCGAGGAUCCUAUUCGCCUUCAAAGUCGGAUCUAACUUGUUCUUCUACUCUUCGCCUCAACAUCAUCAAAACCCUGAUAACAACAACAACAACAAUUCAGCCAUUGUAGCCACUCGUCACGACAUCAACCUCGGCUCAGAUUUGCAACAGUUAUGUCGGCCUGUUCGGGGUCUGGUCUGUAGUCAACACAUUGGUAAGAAUUGGUCGUGGGCUGUGAUUUCUAAUCCCAUCACGGGAGAGAUUGUAACCACACCAAAACUGACCAUAGAAGGUAUCCACUUGAAGGAGCGGGUAAGAGGCAAAGCAGACUACUGUUUUGGAUAUGAUCCUAUCGAUAAACAGUUCAAGGUGUUGCGUAUCACCAGGUUGUGUGGCAGCCCUGAACACAAAAUAUCUUUUUACGCAAAGUAUCAUGUCCUGACAUUAGGGACCGGAGCAUGGAGGAAGCUCCAAUGCAGCACACUUCAUUACCCUCUAGAUGAAAACGGGAUUUGCGAGAACGGGAUUUGCAUCAAUGGUGUUUUGUUUUAUCCAGCCUUGGUUAAACAUAGAAAACAUAUGAUUGUUUGCUUUGAUGUUAGGUCUGAGAUGUUCAGCUUUGUCAGCGUUGAUUACGUUUUAGGAUUGCCCAUCCAUAGAUAUUCCGUUCUGAUAAACUGCAAUGGUAAAUUAGGUGUUAACUUUUGUGACGCUGCCUGUAAGCAUUUUGAGUUGUGGGUAUUGGAGGAUGCCACUAAACAUACAUGGUCGAAGCGUAUCUACGUAUCGCCUCAUGCGUCGCUGAACUGGGACAACUAUGUGCGCCCUGCUGGAAUGAUUGGUAGCGGAGAAAUUCUGUUAUACCGAAUGUAUACACACAAUCCUUUCAACAUCUUUUACUACAAUCUCGAGAAGAAGAUUAUCAGAAGAGUAACAUUUGAGGUCCCAGUAUUGGAAAAGUUUGAUCAUUUUGGAGCUUUCACAUUUGCAAACUAUGUAGAGGAUGUGAAGCUUAUAUGAGAGGUUGGUUGUAAUUUGAUGGCUUGAUUACUCUUCAGCGUGAAGUUGCCUAACACUGGAAUAUCACAGAUUAAUUAAUAUAGCAGUCCUGUUUCCCUAACUCGCAUGGGCAUAAAGAAUGAUUCGAGAAUCACAAAAGCAUAAGAAUCAAGAUCAGAGAUCUUUGCUGGGAGGAUAUUUAGGCAUGAAGCUUUGACAAAGCGCAACUAAGGAGUGUGGUUGAAGAAUAAGAUCGGGUUUACUUUAACUGAACGAGCCUCUUACGUUUGGUCACAAUCUAGGGGUUAGUCCACCGCCAUGACGAACCAAAAGCAGCAGGUCGCCCACAGUGAUGUAAUUGAACACUUUGGUCUUAUCCAAGUUCAUCUUGUAAUUUCUGAAGUGCUUUGUAUCAGUUCGUGGAGUAUUACACAAGUUAGUACAGACUUGUGUUAAGAAGAUGGGAUGUGUUAGAUUUUAUGUUCUGUGAGGUACAAAUUUUAUUUUAUCUUAGAAAAGGAGAAAUAUAUUUGUUGGAAAGUUUAUAUUUAAUGUAAAUAAUAUUUAUUUGAAAAAGAAAAGGAAAUAGAAUUAUCCCUUAUAAGAAAAAUAUUUUCUUAGAGAAAAAUUUGGAGUGCAACUUUGUGAUUACUACGAAAGCAUGACGUCCAUCAUGAAGAAAAAUAACUCCCAGAAAAAAAAAAAAAAACAGAAGGCAA